AAGUAAAAGUCGUAACAAGGUUUCCGUAGGUGAACCUGCGGAAGGAUCAUUAUUGAAUGAACUUGGUUGGGUUGUUGCUGGCUCUCUCGGGAGCAUGUGCACGCUUAACACCAAUUUCUUACCACCUGUGCACCUUUUGUAGACUUGGAAAUAACUCUCGAGGCAGCUCGGUUUGUGGAGAUUGCUGUGUGUGAAAGCCAGCUUUCUCCUAAUAUUUCUGGUCUAUGUUUUUCAUAUACCCCUAUAGUAUGUCUGAGAAUGUAAUACAAGGGCUCAUUGCCUUUAAUCCCUAUACAACUUUCAACAACGGAUCUCUUGGCUCUCGCAUCGAUGAAGAACGCAGCGAAAUGCGAUAAGUAAUGUGAAUUGCAGAAUUCAGUGAAUCAUCGAAUCUUUGAACGCACCUUGCGCUCCUUGGUAUUCCGAGGAGCAUGCCUGUUUGAGUGUCAUGAAAUUCUCAAUCUCUUCAGCUUUUGUUGGUUGAAGAGGCUUGGAUUCUUGGGAGUUGCGGGCUUUAUUUUACAAAGUCGGCUCUCCUUAAAUGCAUUAGCGGAACCUUUGUGGACCAGCUUUGGUGUGAUAAUUAUCUACGCCAUGGCAUGUGAAACAUAAUUUAAUAGGGUUCAGCUCCUAAUAGUCUCCUGUAGACAAUCUUCUUGACUAUUUGACCUCAAAUCAGGUAGGACUACCCGCUGAACUUAAGCAUAU
rnacentral:rRNA from 1 species